rnacentral:rRNA from 1 species
AGUGAACGCUGGCGGUAGGCCUAACACAUGCAAGUCGAACGGCAGCACAGUAAGAUCUUGCUCUUACGGGUGGCGAGUGGCGGACGGGUGAGGAAUACAUCGGAAUCUACUUUUUCGUGGGGGAUAACGUAGGGAAACUUACGCUAAUACCGCAUACGACCUACGGGUGAAAGCAGGAGAUCUUCGCACCUUGCGCGACUGAAUGAGCCGAUGUCGGAUUAGCUAGUUGGCGGGGUAAAGGCCCACCAAGGCGACGAUCCGUAGCUGGUCUGAGAGGAUGAUCAGCCACACUGGAACUGAGACACGGUCCAGACUCCUACGGGAGGCAGCAGUGGGGAAUCUUGGACAAUGGGCGCAAGCCUGAUCCAGCCAUACCGCGUGGGUGAAGAAGGCCUUCGGGUUGUAAAGCCCUUUUGUUGGGAAAGAAAAGCAGCGGGUUAAUACCCCGCUGUUCUGACGGUACCCAAACAAUAAGCACCGGCUAACUUCGUG